rnacentral:rRNA from 1 species
CGGGGUGAGUAACACGUGGAUAACCUACCUAUAAGACUGGGAUAACUUCGGGAAACCGGAGCUAAUACCGGAUAAUAUAUUGAACCGCAUGGUUCAAUAGUGAAAGACGGUUUUGCUGUCACUUAUANAUGGAUCCGCGCUGCAUUAGCUAGUUGGUAAGGUAACGGCUUACCAAGGCAACGAUGCGUAGCCGACCUGAGAGGGUGAUCGGCCACACUGGAACUGAGACACGGUCCAGACUCCUACGGGAGGCAGCAGAG